UAGAACCUUCAUCCAAUAACUGAUGGAAGCAGAUGCAGAGAUACACAGCCAUGCACCAGACUGAGCUCCACGAGUCCAGGCAAAGAGAGGCCUAACCUCCACCCCAUUCUGAUGCCUCAUUCCCUCCUCCAGAAGGCUGGAGAAAUGGCUUAGCAGGAAAAGGUGCUUGCUACCAAGCCUGAGGAGACCUGAGUUUCAUGCCUGGAUCUCACACAGUGGAAGUAGAGAAUCGAAUCCCACAAGUUGUCUUUUGGCCUCUAUAUAUGCACAGUGGUGUGACCCCGCACACAUAAACAUAGACACACAACCACCAAAAUAAAUGUAAAAUUAAUUUUAAAGGUUUUAUUCUACUGUUUUGAUCUCUGAUUUAAAAAUGAACUCAGUUCUGAGGAUGUUUGUCCUUAAAAUUAUUUGCCCAUGAAAAGAUUUUAAUUCAGCAAUAACGUCUUCCUUUCAAGUUCUAGAUCCUACUGCUGUACACUUUGGCCACACAACACAAAUAUUCAAGUUGGAAAAGUACUGGAAGCCUCCUCAGUAAUGGCUAACCUAUAGUACCAGAGAUUCUGUGUAGGGUGCUGGGUAGAAAUGUCAGCAACAAUUUUACCCAGUGCAAAUCGUUUGAGCUAUAAUAAUGACCUACCAGGGAAGAGGUGCCCACUAGUGCAACAUGAAAGUAUCAACAGCUUUUUAAUUAGAAUUGUGUCCCACCACAUAGUCAGGAGCCCGUGGCUGGGGAACUCAUAAUCAAUCACAGAACACAGAAUGCCUAUGUUUCCCUCUGCUAGGUCUCAGUUAGGAACCAUUACUUCUGCAAUCACUCCCAAAACUCUGUAACUAAAUCUCCAAGUAGGUGAGCUGCAAGUUAUGGAGUCCUAACCACAUCAUCCUAUAAUUUGAAUUCCCAUCUACUCUGAUUUGUUGACAGAUGACUUCCAGUACUUUCACUCUUUCCUAGAAUGUAGAAGCUCUCUUUUAAUCCUUCUAUUUAAAUAAUGUAUUGCAAAACUGCACAUUUCUGAUUUGGAGUGUUAUCAUGUGUUUUCAAAUUUACCAAUAAAAAAAAUAACAUCUUUUAGUUUUGCCUAGACUGCUGAAAUGAGAUGUCAUUUUUCCAACUCAUUUCAACAUCUUUUGAGAAUGGAAUUCCUUCAGUUGGAUUGUUUACAAGACACUUACAAUGAAGAGUGUUUUUCUUUUUUUUCUGGCAUACCAAAUUAAGAGUAUAGAUAUUGAUUUUCAGUUGGGAUCAUUCUGGAGAGGUUUUGUAAAGCUGUUGUUCCGGUUCUUGAGGAAGGUAUUUGACAUGUUAUAUUGCCAUUUAAUUUUGCUAGACUGCAUAACCACACAAAACCACAGCAAUAAAUAUUGAAAAUGUGUUAAAUUUUCUAUAUAGAAUUAUAAAGAUAGAACUCUUUUGUGAGCCCAGUAAUAUGUCUCGUGUCAUGAAUAUAAGACCACUACAAAAUCAGAUUGCUUCACUCAUUUUUAAUGCAUUGAUUUGAGCUAUGAAAGGUGAUUGUCCAAUAGUCUUACUUUUUAAAUUUAGAAUUAUAUCUAUCACAAAGCAUUAAAUAUAAGUUAGCAAAAGGUUCUACAAAAACACGUUGCUUGCACUUUUUGGUUCAGCUUGAAAAAUCAGAAUUCUACAAUUCACAAACCCAAAUAAGAACAUAGAAUAAGUGGGAUAACUAAAAAGUUUAACAAGAUGGCAGGUUUAACCCAAAUACAUCAACUCUUGCAUUGCAUAUAGAUAUAAAUAGUGCAAUUGAAAGCAAAACGUGGCUGCAUUGAGUAACAAAACAAAGUCCAAGUAUAUGUCACUAACAAGAGAUCUACUUUAAAUAUAAAGACAGAGCACUUUAAAGUAGAGCAUCUCCCAUAUUAUCCUUGUAUUAGCAUUAGGUAGUACUUUAGCUGUAAGAAAUAGAGAUAGAGAAUGUUUCAUACUGAUAAAGAUAUACACUCACCAGAGAAUAUAAUUAUAAAUUUGAGCAUAUUCACCUUUAAAUUGUUAAAAAAAAUUUGUAUUUAGGGUUUUUAAGCUAACAUGUGUUAGUUGGACUUGUUCUUGUACAAAUUUCCUGGCAGAACAAGUGAGAAUGGCGAAAGAUAUACUUCAGUUCACAGUUUCAGGGGUUUCAAUCCAUCAUGGCUGGAAGGGAACGGCAGAGCCUGUCAGCUGAUGAGGUCAGGAAGCAAAAGGAGAGAAUGUCCAUUUGAGUAGAUGGUCUCCUUUUCCCUUUUUAUUUAAUUUGGGCCCCAGUGUAUUGGAUGGCACUACCCAUAUUUAGUGUGGUAAUUUUUGAGUGACAUUUCCUUAGUGGACAUGUAGAACAAAUGUCUACUCCCUCCAGAUAGGGAACCAGUGGCAGACCAAAGUAAUGAUCCCACAAUACUGCAGUUUGGAGAACCGAUCACUUUUUUAGGGUUACUUACACAGGUGUUAUUGACAGGCAUUUAUAAGACUGUAGCAUAUGCAAAGGGUUGCAACAACACCAUAAAGUUCAACUCAGCCUGGAUGGUUAAUCCAGAGCUCCAUGCAAGACUCUCAGGAGGCUGUCUGGUGGGAGAUUUUCCUCUACUCAGUAGCUGUUUGCUGAUUGUGAAACCUGAGAAUAGCUCUUGUGAAUCUUUCAAGUUACCUAUGCAGAGACUUGUGGAUUUCAUUUAUUGCCUGAGCUUAAUGAACUGCCUCUGUCCCUUCAAUAAGUAAUGUUUCAAUUUGGAAGAAACUGCUACAUAGUUCAGUCUCCACUGUCUCUGAGAGUAUGCUCACCCACGUAUUGAGAUGUAUACUUAAUAUCUCCAGGUGACAAUCAAGAAGAAUAACCACAGAAGGACAUGACAGUAUUAGACUUUUUACUUAAUUAAAAAAUAAUUGCAUCAUUACCUCCGUUCUUCUCCACUUCUUCAAUGCCCACCAGUUCCCCUUUGUACUAAGGACCUCCCAUAAGAUGUCACCUUUAAAAUGUCUGUGCAGUUUCUACAAUGCCAAAUGGAGAACAGACUUCCUAGCACAUGAACCUCUGGGUAUGACAGCCAUAAUCACGUCACAGCAUGGACAAAAUUAAGACCCUUAAUCAUAGCGAUGGGAGGUCUUAAUACACCUCGGUCAGUAUCUAAUGAACAAAUAGAUCAAAGCUGUUGUGAACAUAUAGAAAAUAAUCAACAGCCCCGGUAACAAACUGGAGGUUACUGACACAGAGGGAUGCUGGAUCUCAUAACUGCAUGGCACAUAAUGUUCUCAACUAACAUGAAACACGACCAAGCCGAUCGCAAGCUAGGAUACAAAGCAAACCAAACCAGCAUCAAGAGCUUGAGAUCAUACUAACCCUGUUCUUUUACCACUAUGAAAUCAAGCUUGAAGUCAAUAGUAAAUAAAUUAGAACAAAAUUUCUUGGAGAAAUUUUCUCAGGAGAAAAUUUGGAGCAAGAAGCCAGGCGUAAGAGAGGUGUGAUCCAAGUUUCAGGAGGCUUAAAACUGAAGAAAUUUAUGUCCUAAUAAAACUAGGUAUCAUAUAUAUAUAAAU